rnacentral:rRNA from 1 species
UAUCAGAGUGAGACUAAGCCAUGCGAGUCAACGUAUGAAUAAUACGUGGCGAACGGCUCAGUAACACGUAGUCAACAUGCCCAAAGGACGUGGAUAACCUCGGGAAACUGAGGAUAAACCGCGAUAGGUCAUAAGUACUGGAAUGUUUUAUGGCUCAAAUCUACAUGGCCUCUGGAUUGGACUGCGGCCGAUCAGGCUGUUGGUGAGGUAAUGGCCCACCAAACCUUUUACCGGUACGGGCUCUGAGAGGAGGAGCCCGGAGAUGGGCACUGAGACAAGGGCCCAGGCCCUAUGGGGCGCAGCAGGCGCGAAACCUCUGCAAUAGGCGAAAGCUUGACAGGGUUACUCUGAGUGAUUCCCGCUAAGGGAAUCUUUUGGCAUCUCUAAAAACGAUGCAGAAUAAGGGGUGGGCAAGUC